rnacentral:rRNA from 1 species
GAUGAACGCUGGCUGCGUGCCUAAUACAUGCAAGUCGAGCGAACAGACGAGGAGCUUGCUCCUCUGACGUUAGCGGCGGACGGGUGAGUAACACGUGGAUAACCUACCUAUAAGACUGGGAUAACUUCGGGAAACCGGAGCUAAUACCGGAUAAUAUAUUUAACCGCAUUGUUCAAUAGUGAAAGACGGUUUUGCUGUCACUUAUAGAUGGAUCCGCGCCGCAUUAGCUAGUUGGCAAGGUAACGGCUUACCAAGGCAACGAUGCGUAGCCGACCUGAGAGGGUGAUCGGCCACACUGGAACUGAGACACGGUCCAGACUCCUACGGGAGGCAGCAGUAGGGAAUCUUCCGCAAAGGGCGAAAGCCUGACGGAGCAACGCCGCGUGAGUGAUGAAGGUCUUCGGAUCGUAAAACUCUGUUAUUAGGGAAGAACAAAUGUGUAAGUAACUAUGCACGUCUUGACGGUACCUAAUCAGAAAGCCACGGCUAACUACGUG